UACGUAGGGUGCGAGCGUUAAUCGGAAUCACUGGGCGUAAAGCGCACGUAGGCGGCUUUCUAAGUCAGGGGUGAAAUCCUGGAGCUCAACUCCAGAACUGCCUUUGAUACUGGAGAGCUUGAGUCCGGGAGAGGUGAGUGGAACUCCGAGUGUAGAGGUGAAAUUCGUAGAUAUUCGGAAGAACACCAGUGGCGAAGGCGGCUCACUGGCCCGGUACUGACGCUGAUGUGCGAAAGCGUGGGGAGCAAACAGG
rnacentral:rRNA from 1 species